AGUAGCAAUUGCCAUGAGGAGGCUGGCAUCUGGGGAUUCACAGGUGUCGGUUGGAUCUGCUUUUGGUGUGGGGCAGUCUACUGUCUCCCAAGUCACAUGGAGGUUUAUCGAGUCAAUGGAAGAGAGAGCUCGGCAUCAUUUGGUGUGGCCGAACCAGCAGAGGAUGGAGGAGAUCAAAGCUAGGUUGGAGGCUGUCUCUGGUCUACCGAAUUGCUGCGGUGCCAUUGAUGCCACACACAUUAUCAUGACGCUUCCUGCUGUUGAGUCAUCUGAAGACUGGUGUGACCCUGCGAAGAACUACAGUAUGUUCCUGCAAGGUAUUGUUGAUGAUGAGAUGAGAUUUAUUGAUAUUGUCACCGGUUGGCCAGGCAGCAUGACAUUCUCACGCUUGUUAAAAUGCUCCGGGUUUUACAAGCUCUGUGAGGCUGGGAAACGCUUGAAUGGUCCUGUCAGAACUUCGGGGGAGGAUUCAGAAAUAAGGGAAUUCAUUGUUGGUGACAUGUGUUAUCCUCUACUGCCAUGGCUUAUGACUCCGUACCAAGGAGAAAGUCUAUCUACCCCAAUGGUCAACUUUAAUACCCAGCAAAAAACUGCAAGGAUGCUUGGAACAAGAGCAUUGGCACGUCUGAAAGGUUCCUGGAAGAUCUUGCACAAAGUCAUGUGGAGGCCUGAUAAAAAUAAGUUACCGAGUAUCAUCCUGGUGUGCUGUCUGCUUCACAAUAUAAUACUGGACUGCAACGACGAACUGCUUCCGGAUAUUCAGCUUCCAGAUCAUCAUGAUAAUGGUUAUAAUGGAGAGAACUGCCAGCAAGAGAAUCCUAAUGGCAAAGGAAUUAGAGAGAUCAUUACAGGACAUCUCCCAAUUUAUGAAGCAAUGUUAAACUGAAUUAAGCUGGAUGGAAGCAUUGUUGGAGAUGAGAUGAUGUGUCUUUGUUCUAUUGUUAUUUCCCUCAGUUAUCCUUAAUGUUCAUGUUCUAGUUUAAUCAGACCUGAUGGUUACAGUAAAGAUUCUGCAUGAAUGGUGUGAUCUAUUCAUUUAGUAAUUAUCUACUUUGAAAUACAUGUUGAGUUAAUUUUCUCCUGAUGAUGACAAUCCUUAUCAUGUUGAGUUUCAUAAUCUUUCCGAGGUCAAUUGUUUUGAAUCAAGGAAAUCAUUGUUUUUUUCUUUAGAAAAUGGGCAAAUGAAUCAUCUUUGAGGCGUUAUUGUUAAGCUUCAUGCACUAGCCAACGCCAACCAAAAGUACGAAUUCAUGGAAAGGGUUAGGCAAUCCACAUAUACACUUCAAUACCGAGGUAUGGCUCAAGAGGCCUAUAUGUGGACACAAAGGGGGGCAACAACAAUUUUUAGAUAAAUUGCGAAAGCCAGGACUUGAACUCAAGACCUUAGCUCCGAUACCUUGUUAAGCUUCAUGUAUUAGCCAACGCACCCAGAAGUCUGAACCCAUGAAAAGGGCUAGGCAAUCCACAUGUACACUUCAAUUGUCAUUAGCUACACAAUUUUAUUGUACAUAUGAUAACUGAGUCCAUGCUAGAUAAUUAUUUAAACAUGAGUUCUCCAGCCCUUUUAGUGGGUACUGUCUACUGUCCAUGACAUGUUAUGCUGUGGACAGUACUAGUGACGAAUGCUUCGUUGCCUCAUCUUUGGUAGAUUACUAGGCCACAAUUUCUAAUUUAUGAGGUUUGGUGUUUGACAUGCCUGAUGGCGUUUUACUGAACUUCUGAGGAUAAAGCUUAACGUUCCAUAAAUUACAUUUUCUUUUGGUGAUUUGCUAUUAUUUUGCUGAAUACACCUUCUUCGGUUCUAAAAUCCUUGCGUGGCAAGUGUUUUUGUGUGUCAUGACUCAUGAAUACAUCUUCUUCGGUAGCACACUUGAUAUAGUCAGAGAGGAAGUGAAGCCUUUCUUUCGAGCUUCUUAAUAAGAUUGAUGCGUAUGCCAGUAGUAUUACACUAGAACUAUUUGGAUUACCACAAUUGAUUCAAAUAAUCUUUUCUGUAAGGUAUGAUGGAAUCUGAUACUAAUGUAGGAGCUAGAAUUCAUGAUAAUCUACUUGUCCAGAACUUCUUUUAUUUGUGCUUCUAUUGCUGAACUUGAAUUUUGUUUCUGUCUAUUUGCUGCCUAGACCAUCAUUAUCUGGCAAGCCCUUUCUGUGAAGUUGGUUUCUUCCUAGGUAAACUGUAAGCAUCAUACCAUAGGAUUUUUUUACCAACGUUUUGUAUCCCUUUAACUAGAAAAGCAGUAUUACCCAUGAAAUAUUGAUUCUGUAAAGCAUACUGAUAAUCUGACAUCCUCUGAUGUACAGGUAAUUGUUUACAACUAAGUAAUACCCCCUCUGUAAAGUAAUAUAAGAUCUUUUAGAUCACUACUUUGGUGAUCUAAAAGAUCUUAUACCCCCUCCGUCCCUUAUUUUGGGAUGGAGGGAGUUUAAUUUACAGAGGGGGUACAUUCUAACUGUGAUUUGGCAAACCAAACCCCUUGCAUAUUUUCCAUGAAAUGCUUAUAGUGCUAUCGCAAAAUUAUUUCUGCCCUUCCUUGCACAUAAACUGUAAUAACAGAUGCAUAUAAUUUCUUGACAGGCAUUGGAGGGAUGAAUUGCCUUGUGCCAGUGAGGACUCCCAUUUAUAUCCUAUAUUCUCCAUACACCUUUAUGUGUUUUCUAACCUCGAGUCGUGAACAGGUUCCAUAUGUUUCCUAAUCCUGUUAUCUCUUGUUCCUUAUUUUUAAUACCAUUGAUAUUUACUACCUAUUACCUCCGUUUCUAAAUAUAAGUCUUUUUAGAGAUUUCAAUAUGGACUACAUACGAUGUAUAUAGACGUAUUUUAGAGUGUUGAUUCACUCAUUUUGCUUCGUAUAUAGUCCGUAUUAAAAUCUCUAAAAAGUCUUAUAUUUAGGAACGGAGGGAGUAUAUGGUUAUUUUAGUAGUUAAUGCCAAGUAAAUGUGAGUUCUGUGAAGUGAUUUUGUACAUGAAGAUUCUCGUUCCUAGGAAAUAGAGUAAAAUGCAUUAAAAGUCCUAAUAUUUUUCUGGAGGUGUCAAGUUAGUCCUAGUUCUAUAAAACUGCAUAUCUUCCUAGAACUUCAAGUCGUUCAUGUCCACAAGUGGUAGGUUGACCACCGCCACGUAGACAACAUUUCUUGCACNUGGACAGUACUAGUGACGAAUGCUUCGUUGCCUCAUCUUUGGUAGAUUACUAGGCCACAAUUUCUAAUUUAUGAGGUUUGGUGUUUGACAUGCCUGAUGGCGUUUUACUGAACUUCUGAGGAUAAAGCUUAACGUUCCAUAAAUUACAUUUUCUUUUGGUGAUUUGCUAUUAUUUUGCUGAAUACACCUUCUUCGGUUCUAAAAUCCUUGCGUGGCAAGUGUUUUUGUGUGUCAUGACUCAUGAAUACAUCUUCUUCGGUAGCACACUUGAUAUAGUCAGAGAGGAAGUGAAGCCUUUCUUUCGAGCUUCUUAAUAAGAUUGAUGCGUAUGCCAGUAGUAUUACACUAGAACUAUUUGGAUUACCACAAUUGAUUCAAAUAAUCUUUUCUGUAAGGUAUGAUGGAAUCUGAUACUAAUGUAGGAGCUAGAAUUCAUGAUAAUCUACUUGUCCAGAACUUCUUUUAUUUGUGCUUCUAUUGCUGAACUUGAAUUUUGUUUCUGUCUAUUUGCUGCCUAGACCAUCAUUAUCUGGCAAGCCCUUUCUGUGAAGUUGGUUUCUUCCUAGGUAAACUGUAAGCAUCAUACCAUAGGAUUUUUUUACCAACGUUUUGUAUCCCUUUAACUAGAAAAGCAGUAUUACCCAUGAAAUAUUGAUUCUGUAAAGCAUACUGAUAAUCUGACAUCCUCUGAUGUACAGGUAAUUGUUUACAACUAAGUAAUACCCCCUCUGUAAAGUAAUAUAAGAUCUUUUAGAUCACUACUUUGGUGAUCUAAAAGAUCUUAUACCCCCUCCGUCCCUUAUUUUGGGAUGGAGGGAGUUUAAUUUACAGAGGGGGUACAUUCUAACUGUGAUUUGGCAAACCAAACCCCUUGCAUAUUUUCCAUGAAAUGCUUAUAGUGCUAUCGCAAAAUUAUUUCUGCCCUUCCUUGCACAUAAACUGUAAUAACAGAUGCAUAUAAUUUCUUGACAGGCAUUGGAGGGAUGAAUUGCCUUGUGCCAGUGAGGACUCCCAUUUAUAUCCUAUA
rnacentral:lncRNA from 1 species